rnacentral:rRNA from 1 species
UACGGAGGGUCCAAGCGUUAUCCGGAAUCAUUGGGCUUAAAGGGUCCGUAGGCGGUUUUGUAAGUCAGUGGUGAAAGCCCAUCGCUCAACGGUGGAACGGCCAUUGAUACUGCAAGACUUGAAUUAUUAGGAAGUAACUAGAAUAUGUAGUGUAGCGGUGAAAUGCUUAGAGAUUACAUGGAAUACCAAUUGCGCAGGCAGGUUACUGCUAAUGGAUUGACGCUGAUGGACGAAAGCGUGGGGAGCGAACCGG